rnacentral:lncRNA from 1 species
CAAUAAUGACUUACACUGUUUUUCAGGGGAACGCUCACUGCUGUGAAUGAGGUGGGAGUAGCCAUCUUUUAAAUACAAGAAGACUACUUUCUUGAUUGAUAAGUUGGGCGACUGCACGGUGAGAAAUCACCCUCUCAGGCUCCAAGAUGGUUCGCAUGGCAGGUAACCCAGACUCAUUCUUAAAAUGGGCUUGCCAGCCCUGGGAGCUUCUGAGAAGAGCCCCCACUCAUUUUCUCUGCAAACAACCACCUUCCCUGAGCACAAAAACUGUGAGCGCAGAUACCCUGGAAGUAAUGGUGGGAUCAGACGUGGUGUGGUACAACAGGGACAGGGGAGGCGUGUACCCUUCACUGGGAAUCCAAAGCAUUGAAAGAAAAGCCAGACUCUAGACGGGAAAGUGUGAAAUCGAGCCUGCUUCCUUUGAGACACUCUGCUCCCAACGUCUCCAGGGCUCAGAACUGCUCUCGUGGGCAAGAACCCAGCGGGGAACAAGCACGUCGCGUCUGGGAAAGGCCGGUCCUCCGAAGGGAAGAGGUGUCUGGGGCGUCACUUAGUUUAGAGCUGGUUUGGGAGAGCUGCGAAGGAAACUGUCGCCGGAUUCUCAUCUCCGCCCCCCUCCUGCAGCUUCGACUUCUCGGGAAUUGAGCCUUCGCAGUUCCUGCACAAUCAACGGCCACCACGCAGGGAGGAAACUUAGGUCUUGGCGUCCUAGGAAGUUCUUGCCGGGCCUCGUGGAACCUUCGAGGUGCUUGGUCGGUUCUGGUCCAUCGCUGUUUCUCCUUCCACCUUUGAAGGGCCGCCAUCGGGCGGGCCCUGGCGCCUCCCUGGAGGGAAAGAGGAGUUGCAGAGCUGCGUGGUCUUAAGUCCGCCAAGAGCUGGGAGCUGGAGCCUCCUUGGCCCGCGCCUUCCACGAUGGCAAAUCUUUUCCAGCACCAUCUUGGGCAUCUCCAUCCUGCCACAUCCGGUUGUCCCCAGGAGUGACCGGGGGUGGUGGAGCGGGCCAGUGUGUUGUUGCCUGCUCUUCGCUAGGACCCCUCCUCUGCUAGACAGAUCCGUUAGGUUUUCUGUCCAUUAAUAUUUGAAACAACCAACCAAA